GCAGUCAACACCGUCGCUCUCCUACCCACUGACACGCAGCAGAUGACGCGGACAUGUCCUCCACCCGCGGCCCCAUUUUGGCAGAAGUAAACAUUCCUUUAAACUCGCAACGCCAAGCCGCGCGACUCUCCCGCUGUUAGCAUCAGGCGAGCUAGCCUCCUCCUGCUAGCUGUCAAGUGCUGCAAGUUGGCCGAGGACAUGUGUGAGAAGCAAAUACAUCUCCCCGUGUGGUCAAGGACACCUUCUUCGGUCUGUGUGUGAAAGUCGAUGAGCAAGUUGUAUUCCUGCAGAGGCUCACCAUGGAUUGGCUCGUCGGUGAAGUGGAAAAAGACUUCGGGAUCGACCGAAGGCAGCUGGGCUCCGGGCCUCGACCCCAUGAACUUGUUGCUCUGGUGCCCGCCCGCUGGCUGGCAGCCCUGAGGGAGAGAAAGCUCACGCGUCUUGCCUGCGCGGACAGCAUCAGCGAGGCGGAAAUUGUCACAUAUCUUCAGUGUUCACAGGCUAAGCCGCCCACUGGCUGGACACGAGUGUGCAUACAGGGUUUGAGGAAAAGCAAGCUGGACUACAGCCUGGUCAGAGACCCGUGUCUUCAACCAAGUGACACCACGACAAAGGACUCCUACGUGAGCACCAUGCAGCACGUGUCACAGCACAAUGUCAGGAAUCUGUGGCGUGAAGCCCAUUCUAAACGUGUGCAGCCAUACGCCAGAGCCACUGAGCAGAUGCAUGUUGCAGCUGUGGACGCAGUGAGACACGCACUGCAGAAGCUUUUUAACUCCACAUUCAUCUCAUGUGACAAAGUGUCCCAAUCCCUCUCUCCAGCCAGGGAGAAGGAGAAAGAAAACUUCUUGCCAUCCACUCUUUCAACUUCUGUAAAGCCCCACUCCGUCUGUCCCAAUGUUCUAACUGCAGAGUGUCUGCUGGAGACAACUGAGAUGCUCUACAUAGUUUUACCUUACAGUCAGUAUUCACUUUAUGACAUUGUCUCCUUCAGCCCAGCCAAGUUAGCCAAUAGUCAUGCCAAAGUUUUGUUCAUUCUGUACCAGUUGCUCACAGCCAUGCAGGCUUGUCACACUGCGGGAUUGUCCUGUGGAGAUCUCUCCUUGCUGGAUGUUGCAGUUGAUGAGAAGCUUUGCAGCCAUCUUAAACUCAACCUGGCCCAUUUUGAGGAACUGGGCACCAACGGGUCUACAAGCGAUGACGUCACUGCGAGGCAGAUGCCUAAAAGUGCCGUGGCAAGCGGAAGCGCCUGUUCAAGUCAGAACCAAAUGCUUUGCAAGGACUGCUUUGAUGACCUCAAGACUUUAGUUCUUGACUGGGUCCAUGGGCGGGUCAGUAACUAUCACUACUUGAUGGAACUCAACAGAUUAGCCGGACGGCGAGAAGGAGACCCAAAUUACCACCCUGUGCUGCCAUGGGUGGUUGAUUUUACUGUGCCAUUUGGAAAAUUCAGAGAUCUCAGAAGGUCCAAGUUCAGACUCAACAAAGGCGAUAAGCAGCUGGACUUCACCUAUGAGAUGACCAAAGAGGCUUUGGCAGCUGCAGUGGGAAAUGGCAUAGGUGGAGUUGGUGUAGCAGGAGACCUCAGUGGAUCUGUCAGUGCCAGUGGUGUCGGACAUUCAGACCACCUUCACGUACCUCAUCAUAUAUCUGAUGUGCUCUCUGACAUUACAUACUAUGUCUACAAAGCUCGGCAGACACCUAAAUCUGUGCUGUGCAGCCAUGUGAGGUCCCAGUGGGAGCCUAAUGAGUACCCCUCCAGUAUGGAACGCAUGCAGAGUUGGACCCCUGAUGAGUGCAUUCCCGAGUUCUACACUGAUCCAUCUAUUUUCCGCUCAAUCCACCCUGACAUGCCAGACCUCGAUGUGCCUUCCUGGUGCAAGUCCUGUGAGGUGUUUAUUGAGGUCCAUCAACGCCUCCUGGAGAGCAGGGAAGUGUCCCAGAACCUGCAUCAUUGGAUAGACCUCACUUUUGGCUACAAACUUUCUGGUAAAGAAGCAGUCAAAGCCAAGAAUGUGUGCUUGCACCUAGUAGAUUACCACACCAAUCUGACAACUUACGGUGUGGUCCAGUUGUUUGACCAGCCCCACCCACCUCGAUUAUCAGCUUCUCAGUAUGCUUCCGCCGAACCACCUUUUCUUGGCCUUGCUGCACUUAAUGUGCCUUCUCUACAUAUCCCACAAAUCAACACCGUAUCUGACUCUGUGGAUGGAAUGGUGCUGGAGUCCACAGGUUGUGAAUCCAGUGGCUGGACCAUGGUAGACAAAGAUGUAGAGCUUGAACAAGGUACAGAAGCCCUGGAUUCAUUAAUGUCCACCGGCUCAUCUAAUACUGCGUCGUCCUCUGUUCCAGCGGGAGGGAAGAUGGGAGACACCGCACUUGUAUCGCAGUCCCCUACCUCUUCCUCUGGUGACGUUACAAGCAGUUUGGGCCCAGGCUUACGCAAUGUCAUGCUCCAAAGAAGUGGACCAGCCAAUAAAAAACACGGGGAGGGAAGUGUGACCACCUCCAAUGCUGAGGACGUCAAGAUCAUUCUUCCUGAGGGUUUCAGCCCCCUGCAACCUUUGGAAGAGCUGGAGAAGUUAAACAACUUUCUCGUGAAGAGUUUGCAUGCCCGAGUGUCGCAGCCACCUGCAGCUAGUGAAGCCACAAAUGAAGUUGAGUUGAUCGAAACUCCACCCUCUUUCACACAGCUCUACCAAAGAGAUAUGCAGGCCCUUGGCGUACUCAUUGCGGAGAUAUUUUACUCCUCGAAAGUGAGAGGGUUGAUACCAGGUGCCCCCCUCAGACAACGUUUCUGUGCUGUCAUGGAAAUGUGCUCCGUUGGCCUUCGUGAUAUUCCACUCCCUUUACAUUAUGCUCUUCAGAGACUGCUACUAAUAGAAAAGCACACCCAAACAUAUCUUAAAGUCACGGGUCAUUGUCCACGUCCGCUUCUUUUUAACUAUGAUGCCAUCUGUGAUGGCCUUCCGCCUCCAAACCCUGCCCAGUUACUGAAUACAUUCAUUACCCCGUUUCCUUUCCCUUCAUAUUUUGCAGCACUCCAUCGCUUUAUUGUUUCGUACCACGACAAGAUGGAGACUGUGUGUAGCCUUCAAGGAAGAGAUGUGGUCUUCCAUUUGUGGCAGCAGUUAGAAACGCUUUUGCGAACCAAUAUCACAGCCGAGGGCCUUGAGAUUCUCUUGCCCUUCAUUCUGGCCAUUAUGCUUGAGGAGUCCACUUCUGUUUAUGCAGCUUGGUACUUGUUUGAGCCGAUUUCAAGAGUCCUGGGUCCUAGGAACGCAAACAAGUUUCUUCUGAAGCCACUAGUCAGCGUUUAUGAAAACCCCCACUGCCUGCGGGGACGUUUUUAUCUGUACACCGACUGUUUCGUUCUGCAGCUCAUCAUGAGGCUCGGCCUGCAGGCCUUUCUCUCCAACUUGCUUCCCCAUGUGCUGCAGGUCCUCACUGGCUUCGAAAGCUGUUCAUCUGGUUCUGCCGGAGAGAUUUGUAAAGGGAUGCGUAGUGGAACUUGCAACCUAGGAGAGGAGGAGGAAGAGGGCUUUCAGGCUGGUGAUGUGCGCUCCUCCUCUGGGUCAGUCAGCGGGAACAUAAGCGGUGGCAACGGGGCUAGCGGAGGUGUCGGUGCUGGGGGGGAAACUGGGCUGGUUGACUACUCCUCAGGCAUCAGUUUCAAUGAUCAGGUGUUUCUCUCAGAGUCGGAGGACUUUCAAAAUGAGUUCUACAUUAACAAUGGAACAGGGUGCGACAGUGGGAAACAGCCAGGGCAGAACUCUACAGCUAAGGACCAAGACCAAGAGUCUUUGAGCAUGGGUAAACUAAGCGACAAAAGUAGUACAAGCGAACUCUCAUUAGGCGACGGGGACUCAAUGCGUGAUCGAGCUAGUCUCAAAUCGGCCGACAGCAGCCAGGAUCUCAAACAAGCCAGCGAGGGAGAAGAGGGCGGAGAGGUGGAUGAUGUGGAGAUGACGGAGGCUAAUGAUUGUAAACUUCAGGAAGAUGACCCUUCCACCCCCAAGUUGGAGCUGUCUUUCUCUGGUUGCACAGACGAUUCAGGGGCUACUCUCACAACUCUGGAAAAUGAGUUUGUGAACAGAAUGGUGCUGGAGGAAGCAGAGAAACAUAUUAUGGGGGAGCAGGAGGAAGAGGCAGAGCAUGAGCCAUCAGAGGACUCGCAGGAGAAAGAGCAAAAAAUUCUCUUAGAUACAGUCUGCAAAACAGUCCGCUGGCUCUCCGCCAAACUUGGACCAACUGUGACGUCUCGAUGCGUGGCCAGGAACUUGCUGCGAUUACUCACAAAUUGCUACAUCGACCCCGAGAGCCACCAGUUUGUUACUCCUGGACCUGAAGAGACUAAUCUAGAGAGCGUGGGAAUGGGCAGCGUGUAUGAGAAGAGACCUGUUGUGGGAGACGAGACAGCCGGGCCUGUGUUAGACUGUCUCAUUUACAUCGCUCAGCUUUACGGAGAACCUGUACUCACGUAUCAGUACCUGCCCUAUAUAGGAUACCUGGUGUCUCCACCCUCUUCGCAGCGUCUCAACACGCGUAAGGAGGCCAGCCUGCUGGGUGCUGUUGCACUUACAAAGAAGAUCAUUGUCUUUCUUUCUGAUACCACGCUCAUGGACAUGCUCAUGAAAAUUAACCAGGAUGUACUUCUGCCACUUCUGGACCUGCUUACCAACCCCCACCUGGGGUUCCCCAGCGGGGGGCAGUGUCGCACAGCUGUGUGUCUCAAGACACUCAGCCUGAUGGCCCUCAUCUGCCUUCGCAUUGGGAGGGAGAUGGUGCAGCAGCAUAUGGCAGACACGCUGCGCCAGUUCUUUGCCAUUUUCUCCUUGCUACAUUUUCUGCAGCCCCAGAUUGGAGGUGCCCCCCGCAGAGUUGUAGGAGAGGUGACGGUGGUGGACGUCAGGACACCUACAAAGUCCAGUGAGACCUAUGAGUUGGCCGUCUUGGAGGAACUGCAAAGUGUGUUUAGCACAGAGAUGGCACAUGCUUCCUACAUCCCGUUUUACUGCCUCAUUGGUGAUGUCGCAAUCCGGAAACUGGUACCCAACCAUGAACUGGUCUGGCAGCUGGCGUCUUCAUACCAUCAGAGUGUCAGUCAAGACUUCGUAGAAGGAAACGCUGUUUCAAGAGUGGACUUGCCUUCAGUCUCCAUGGGGGUCUCCUCUGAUUUUAGCAGGCCCCCAGGGUGCAGUGCUUUCCCCUCACCUUUAAUUAGCUCAACCACAUUUGGAGACCCACUCCCAGAAUCAGGAACCUUUGGGAGCCAUCUGGUAGGAAAUCGUAUCCAAGUGUCAAGGGAGUCUUAUCAUAGUGGUAGCCCUAAUAUGGGUUUGACCGGCUCUUGGGGACGCUCCAACCAUACCGUGCCCAGUAACACUUCUGCCUCUGCUGUCACCACUUCAUCCAUCAGCACCGCACCCUUUCCCUCAUCCUGGGUGACCGGACCUCCUCCAGAGGAUAGCGCGCUGAAACAGGAACUGGCUCGCAGUGGCCGUUCCUUGCAGGGCAACUGGCUGGCCUAUUGGCAGUACGAAAUCGGCCUCAACCAGCAAGAUCCUCAUUUCCACUUCCACCAGAUCCGUCUGCAGAGCUUCCUGGGUCACUCAGGCGCUACAAAGUGUUUGGCACCACUGGCGGGCGAGGAUUACUUCCUCUCUGGUGGUAAAGAUAAGACUGUGAAGCUUUGGCCCCUCUAUAAUCGCGGCGACGGGACACAGGAAGUGGAACCAAGGCUUACAUAUACCGACCACCGCAAGUCAGUGUUCUAUGUUGGACAACUGGAAGCUUCGCAAGAGGUGGUCAGCUGUGAUGGAACCGUGCACCUGUGGGAUCAGUUUACUGGGAAACAGAUCCGCUCAUACGAAGCAGUGGAUGGGAAGAAUCCAAUUACAGCUGUCACCACCAUGCCUGCACCACACUGCAGCGUCGUAUUUGCAAGUGCAGACGCCGUUCUCCGCUUCAUUGACCCUCGCAAACCAGGACUGCAGCAUGAAUUUCGCCUGGUGUACAGCAACAUAAACAACGGUCUCAUCCGAUACUUGGCUGUUAGCCCUACAGGACGCACAGUUGCGGCGGGUUUCUCCUCUGGCGUCAUAGUUCUACUAGAUGCACGCACAGGCCUUGUUCUGAGGCGCUGGCUCGCUCACGAGGGAGAUAUCCUACAAAUGAAGGCUGGAGAAGGAAACUUGAUCGUCAGUUCGUCCACUGACUACACCCUCGCCGUGUGGAAAGAUCCGGAGCAGAAACCGCUCCGCCAGUACAAGUCACAGUCCGACCCCAUUCACGCCUUCGACUUUUACGGCUCGGAGAUCGUAACGGGAACCAUGGCCAAUAAAAUCGGCAUCUACUCCGCGCCGGACAUCUCACUGAGCCCCGUGAGCAGCACCAAGCUGAGCUCCGAGAACUUCCGGGGAACCCUGACCAGCCUGGCCGUGCUGCCCACCAAGAGGCUUUUGCUCCUGGGCUCGGACAACGGCGCCAUCCGUUUGCUGGCAUGAUCACGAGCCUCCGACCUACAUUUUGAGGCAGCAACUUGACCACCUUGUUGAAAAUGCUCAUGCACAGUAAGUCCUGUACAUUUGUAAAAGAACUACUUUUGGACCUGCUAUGUUCUGCUCCAACACAUGAACCAGAAAACUAGCUCAGGAAAGAACAAAACAGACCUGCUUCUUUUGUAGUCUCUGUCCAAAUAGACGUAUAUACAGUGUUUCACCCCACACAAUUCACAUUUCAGCAACAAUUUUAUAUCUUUUUUUUUAUAUUGUGUCAAUAUUUAGUGUAAGCACCAAUGUCAUGUAGCACUGCCUUAACCCUCUGGAGCUUGGAACUCAUCAGCGCUCUACAGGUUGUUACUGGAAUCCUCUUCCAUGGUGACGUCCUCCACCUUCUGCUUGAGGAUGCCCCACAGGUGCUCAGUUUCUGAACAAUGUCGAGCAGUUUAGCGACAUUGAACUCGGAGCAUAAGGUCAGUCAAUGCCAAGGUCAACAGUUUUUGUACUUUUAACAUUUCUAUGAAAAUACACAAAUUGUUUAAUAAUUGUAGAGAAAAUGCACAAACGGGUGGCCUGGGUUUCACUUUAGUUCCUUUGUAUUGUCGAACUGUGUUUUUCAUACAUUUCUGAUGAUUCGCUCCAAGCUCACAAUAAUGCUCUGACAUGUUUUUAACUUCCUCAACAAUCCGGCUCUGAUCAGUGAUGUUUUAAGCCUUCCAUUCGACCAUUUUAGCCGUCUACGAUAACCUUUAUCAUUAGGAUAAAUAAAGAAAAU